UGGCCAUCUGGGCGCGCGGAGUUGGGAAGGGCGGGGCGGAGGCAGAGCGCAGUUAGUCUAGAGCGUCUGUCUCUAGCGCGUGGAGCUGUCCUGUGCCG
rnacentral:pre_miRNA from 1 species